rnacentral:rRNA from 1 species
UACGUAGGGUGCGAGCGUUAAUCGGAAUUACUGGGCGUAAAGCAUGCGCAGGCGGUUUUGUAAGCCAGAUGUGAAAUCCCCGGGCUUAACCUGGGAAUGGCAUUUGGGACUGCAAGGCUUGAGUUUGGCAGAGGAGACUGGAAUUCCUGGUGUAGCAGUGAAAUGCGUAGAUAUCAGGAGGAAUACCGAUGGCGAAGGCAGGUCUCUGGGCUAGAACUGACGCUCAUGCACGAAAGCGUGGGGAGCAAACGGG